CACAGAGGGGGCAAGCGUUGUUCGGAAUUACUGGGCGUAAAGGGUGCGUAGGCGGGUCUUUAAGUCAGGGGUGAAAUCCUGGAGCUCAACUCCAGAACUGCCUUUGAUACUGAGGAUCUUGAGUUCGGGAGAGGUGAGUGGAACUGCGAGUGUAGAGGUGAAAUUCGUAGAUAUUCGCAAGAACAUCAGUGGCGAAGGCGGUCUGCUGGGCCGUUGCUGACGCUGAGGCGCGACAGCGUGGGGAGCAAACAGG
rnacentral:rRNA from 1 species